rnacentral:rRNA from 1 species
AUACAUAGGGGGCAAGCGUUAUCCGGAAUUAUUGGGCGUAAAGCGUGCGUAGGCGGUUUAUUAAGUCUGAUGUUAAAUCCCACAGCUCAACUGUGGGCUGCCAUUGGAAACUGGUAGACUUGAGUGCGGUAGAGGUAAGUGGAAUUCCAAGUGGAGCGGUGGAAUGCGUAGAUAUCAGGAAGAAUACCAGUGGCGAAGGCGGUUUGCUGGCUGCAUACUGACGCUGAAGCGCGAAAGCCAGGGGAGCAAACGGGAUUAGAUACCCCGGUAGUCCUGGCAGUAAACGAUGUAUGCUGGGUGUGAGACUAGCGAUAGUUUCGUGCCGAAGUUAACGCGAUAAGCAUACCGCCUGGGGAGUACGGUCGCAAGAGUGAAACUCAAAUGAAUUGGCGGGG